rnacentral:rRNA from 1 species
GACGAACCGUACGAACGUUAUUCGGAAUCACUGGGCUUAAAGGGUGCGUAGGCUGUCCGGUAAGUUGGGUGUGAAAUCCCUCGGCUCAACCGAGGAAUAGCGUCCAAAACUGUCGGACUUGAGGGAGACAGAGGUGAGCGGAACUUAGGGUGGAGCGGUGAAAUGCGUUGAUAUCCUAAGGAACACCAGUGGCGAAGGCGGCUCACUGGGUCUCUUCUGACGCUGAGGCACGAAAGCUAGGGUAG